rnacentral:RNase_P_RNA from 1 species
AUUACAUAGUAGAUGAUCGUCCGCCGAAUCCGUCAGCUGACGGAGAAGGUGGAAGGAAAGUCCGAACAUUCACCUGGUGCAAAUCAGGUAACAGAGUAGCGGGUAACUCCCGUCGGUCGUAAGACUAGAGGUGCGAGCAGUGACGCCGAGACGCGAAAGUGUUGAGGCAUCAUGUAAAAGCGCAAGCUUUUUACAUGAUGAACUCUGAUAGUGAUAUUAGAGGUGAAACGGCAAAAUCCUUACUUGAAUGAAAGAACAGCCUUUCGAUUCACUUCGUUCGCUUAGAGUAAACUAAUUGUUAGAUACUUUGAGUGAAUGAAGUGCAAUUUGAUUGGAAAAGUUAGUUCGCUAGACCCAGCUGGUAACAGCCUGGGCAGAUAAAUGAUCGUCCUAGACAAAAUUCGGCUUAUAGCUAUGUAAUGAAU